AUUGAACGCUGGCGGCGGGCCUAACACAUGCAAGUCGAACGAGUGGCGGACGGGUGAGUAAUUUCUGGGAAACUGCCUGAUGUAGGGGGAUAACUACUGGAAACGGUAGCUAAUACCGCAUACCAUCGGAUGUGCCCAGAUUGGAUUAGCUAGUGGGGGGGGUAAAGGCUCACCUAGGCGACGCUCCCUAGCUGGUCUGAGAGGCUGAACAGCCACACUGGAACGGAGACACGGUCCAGACUCCUACGGGAGGCAGCAGUGGGGAAUAUUGGACAAUGGGCGCAAGCCUGAUGCAGCCAUGCCGCGUGAAUGAAGAAGGCCUUCGGGUUGUAAAGUACUUUCAGCGGGGAGGCGGUACCCGAAGAAGAAGCACCGGCUAACUCCGUGCCAGCAGCCGCGGUAAUUC
rnacentral:rRNA from 1 species